CCCUCUCUCUUGCCAGCUUUUACCUCCUCCCUCUCUCUAUCUCACUGGCCACAAAAUCUUCUCCCUUUCUCUCUCAACCAAACAAAAUACUCCUCUCUCUGUCUCUCACUGGAACCCUUCUUCCUCUCUCUCUGUCUCUCAUUACUGGAGCCUUCCUAUCUCUCAUCAGUUGACUUGUGAAGCAUUCUCUCCACCCUUGUCGAAGGAUACUUUGAGACAAAAUUUUAUGUCUUUUAUGUAGAACAAAUAAAAUCUUAUAAAUUGCUUUGGCUUUUGAUGAUGUAAGCUGGAUACC
rnacentral:lncRNA from 1 species